GACGAACGCUGGCGGCGUGCUUAACACAUGCAAGUCUACGGGAAAGGGGUAGCAAUAUCCCGAGUAUAGUGGCGCACGGGUGAGUAACACGUAGGCAAUUUGCCUUUAGGACGGGGACAACUCCGCGAAAGCGGAGCUAAUACCCGAUAAUGCAGCGGCACCGCAUGGUGAUGUUGUUAAAGGCCCGCAAGGGCGCCUAUCGAUGAGCAUGCGUCCCAUUAGUUAGUUGGUAAGGUAACGGCUUACCAAGACGAUGAUGGGUAGGGGUCCUGAGAGGGAGAUCCCCCACACUGGUACUGAGACACGGACCAGACUCCUACGGGAGGCAGCAGUGAGGAAUAUUGGUCAAUGGUCGCAAGACUGAACCAGCCAUGCCGCGUGCAGGAAGACGGUCCUAUGGAUUGUAAACUGCUUUUAUACAGGAAGAAACCCUCCCACGUGUGGGAGCUUGACGGUACUGUAGGAAUAAGGAUCGGCUAACUCCGUGCCAGCCGCCGCAGUAACAC
rnacentral:rRNA from 1 species